AUUGAACUCUGGCGGCCUGCCUAACACAUGCAAGUCGAACGAGUGGCGGACGGGUGAGUAAUGUCUGGGAAACUGCCCGAUGGAGGGGGAUAACUACUGGAAACGGUAGCUAAUACCGCAUACCAUCGGAUCUGCCCAGAUGGGAUUAGCUAGUUGGUGGGGUAACGGCUCACCUAGGCGACGAUCCCUAGCUGGUCUGAGAGGAUGACCAGCAAAACUGGAACUGAGACACGGUCCAGACUCCUACGGGAGGCAGCAGUGGGGAAUGUUGAACAAUGGGCGAAAGCCUGAUGCAGCCAUGCCGCGUGUAUGAAGAAGGCCUUCGGGUUGUAAAGUACUUUCAGCGGAGAGGCGUUACUCGCAGAAGAAGCACCGGCUAACUACGUGCCAGCAGGCGCGGUAAUUC
rnacentral:rRNA from 1 species